GCGGUGGAUGAUGUGGUUUAAUUCGAUGCAACGCGAAAACCUUACCACCUUUGACAUGUACGGAAGCCUUUAGAGAUAGAGGCGUGCUCGAAAGAGAGCCGUAACACAGGUGCUGCAUGGCUGUCGUCAGCUCGUGUCGUGAGAUGUUGGGUUAAGUCCCGCAACGAGCGCAACCCUUGUCAUUAGUUGCUACAUUCAGUUGGGCACUCUAAUGAGACUGCCGGUGACAAGCCGGAGGAAGGUGGGGAUGACGUCAAGUCCUCAUGGCCCUUAUAGGUGGGGCUACACACGUCAUACAAUGGCUGGUACAAAGGGUUGCCAACCCGCGGAGGGGGAGCUAAUCCCAUAAAGCCAGUCGUAGUCCGGAUCGUAGUCUGCAACUCGACUACGUGAAGUCGGAAUCGCUAGUAAUCGUGGAUCAGAAUGUCACGGUGAAUACGUUCCCGGGUCUU
rnacentral:rRNA from 1 species